CCUACGGGUGGCAGCAGUGGGGAAUAUUGGGCAAUGGGCGCAAGCCUGACCCAGCAACGCCGCGUGAAGGAAGAAGGCUUUCGGUUUGUAAACUUCUUUUCUCAGGGACGAAGAAAGUGACGGUACCUUAGGAAUAAGCCACUGCUAACUACGUGCCAGCAGCCGCGGUAAUACGUAGGGGGCAAGCGUUAUCCGGAUUUAUUUGGUGUAAAGGGAGUGUAGGCGGGAAAGCAAGUCAGAUGUGAAAACUCAGGGCUCAACCAGGAGCCUGAAUUUGAAACUGUUUUGCUUGAGUGCUGGAGAGGUAAUCGGAAUGCCGAGUGUAGCGGUGAAAUGCGUAGAUAUUAGGAGGAACACCAGUGGCGAAGGCGGAUUGCUGGACAGUAACUGACGCUGAGGCGCGAAAGCGUGGGGAGCAAACAGGAUUAGAUACCCGGGUAGUC
rnacentral:rRNA from 1 species